GUGUGUGUGUGUGUGUGUGUGUGUGUGUGUGUGUGUGUGUGUGUGUUAGUGUGUGUAGAUAUUGCACUAUCACAGGCUGUUGUAGCUGAAUGUAGUUCAUCUCUUCAUCUAUCAGACUGUUUGAAGUCUGAUUUCUGUCAGUAUUUUCUUUGCACAAAUGUAUGUGUGCGUGUGUGUGUCUGUGUGUGUGUGUCUGUGUGUGUGUUUGUGUGUGUCCGUCCGUGUCCUACGCACAACAUGACACUUUUUGUGGAACAAAUGUUUUCUUUUAAGUGUUAAGUGUUGGCUCCACAGCUCCUCUCCAUGGUCACAGUCUCUUAUAAUCCCGGAUGUUGGCCAUGUGACUUGCAAACAAUGUUUAAUUGAGGACAUUCAAACAACACAAAAGCCAUUUGGACUUGGACAUUUUGGACUAUGACAGAUAUGUAGUGAUGACCUUAACUUCAAUGAACUCCAAAAAAAGGAAAGAAUAACAUUCACAGCAACAGGAGCAAGAAGACCAUCUGCAACAAGAACAGCAGAAUGUGGGCAAACAGAGUUUACUUCUUCUGUAUUGUUGGAUGUGGCGUUGUCUUAGAUUGUACAGAUGUACUUAGUGAAGUGUAUAGAGACAGGGAGCAUUUAAGUCCCGCCCCCACCGGGGGGGAAAACAACCCUCCGCUCUACAUCGACUUGUUUUAAGUGAAUGUUCCCACCGCGUCAAUUACGUCUGCUAGCAAUCAACAGAAACAUGCUUAAAAGCUGCGUGUGGUGAUAUUCACUACCAACAAUGUAAAGAACCCAGAACUUAAGUUUUCAUAAGCUGCUGACCU